CCUACGGGAGGCAGCAGUGGGGAAUAUUGCGCAAUGGGCGAAAGCCUGACGCAGCGACGCCGCGUGAGGGAUGAAGGUCUUCGGAUCGUAAACCUCUGUCAGCAGGGAAGAACGGUCACUGUGCUAAUCAGCAGUGAAUUGACGGUACCUGCAAAGGAAGCACCGGCUAACUCCGUGCCAGCAGCCGCGGUAAUACGGAGGGUGCGAGCGUUAAUCGGAAUUACUGGGCGUAAAGCGCUCGUAGGCGGUAUGUCAAGUCAAGGGUGAAAUCCCCGCGCUCAACGUGGGAACUGCCUUUGAAACUGGCAAACUGGAGUGUGGGAGAGGAGAGUGGAAUUCCAGGGGUAGGAGUGAAAGCCGUAGAUAUCUGGAGGAACAUCAGUGGCGAAGGCGACUAUCUGGCACAUAACUGACGCUGAGGAGCGAAAGCGUGGGUAGCAAACAGGAUUAGAUACCCUUGUAGUC
rnacentral:rRNA from 1 species